AAUGAACGCUGGCGGCGCGCCUAAUACAUGCAAGUCGAGCGAGAAGACGUAGCAAUACGUUUGUAAAGCGGCGAACGGGUGAGGAAUACAUGGGUAACCUACCCUCGAGUGGGGAAUAACUAGCCGAAAGGUUAGCUAAUACCGCGUACGCUCCUUGGACUUCGGUUCAGGGAGGAAAGCGAUACCGUGGGGUAUCGCGCUCUUGGUUGGGCUCAUGUCCUAUCAGCUUGUUGGUGAGGAACGGCUCACCAAGGCUUCGACGGGUAGCUGGUCUGAGAGGACGAUCAGCCACACUGGCACUGCGACACGGGCCAGACUCCUACGGGAGGCAGCAGUAAGGAAUAUUGCGCAAUGGGCGAAAGCCUGACGCAGCGACGCCGCGUGGGGGAUGAAGGUC
rnacentral:rRNA from 1 species